rnacentral:rRNA from 1 species
CAAGUGCCAUAGUAACUGAUGGCACCUUGACGGUACCUAACCAGAAAGCCACGGCUAACUACGUGCCAGCAGCCGCGGUAAUACGUAGGUGGCAAGCGUUGUCCGGAAUUAUUGGGCGUAAAGCGCUCGCAGGCGGUUCUUUAAGUCUGAUGUGAAAUCUUACGGCUCAACCGUAAACGUGCAUUGGAAACUGGGGAACUUGAGUGCAGAAGAGGAGAGUGGAAUUCCACGUGUAGCGGUGAAAUGCGUAGAGAUGUGGAGGAACACCAGUGGCGAAGGCGACUCUCUGGUCUGUAACUGACGCUGAGGAGCGAAAGCGUGGGGAGCGAACAGGAUUAGAUACCCUGGUAGUCCACGCCGUAAACGAUGAGUGCUAGGUGUUAGGGGGUUUCCGCCCCUUAGUGCUGAAGUUAACGCAUUAAGCACUCCGCCUGGGGAGUACGGCCGCAAGGCUGAAACUCAAAAGAAUUGACGGGGGCCCGCACAAGCGGUGGAGCAUGUGGUUUAAUUCGAAGCAACGCGAAGAACCUUACCAGGUCUUGACAUCCUCUGAACACUCUAGAGAUAGAGUUUUCCCUUCGGGGACAGAGUGACAGGUGGUGCAUGGUUGUCGUCAGCUCGUGUCGUGAGAUGUUGGGUUAAGUCCCGC